UACCCGCAGCACAAGUGGUGGUCAUUAUUAUUGGGCCUAAAGCGUCCGUAGCUGGCUUGUUAGAUGCCUGGGGAAAUCGAUGCGCUCAACGUAUCGAAUUCCGGGUAGACCGGCAAGCUCGAGUCCGGGAGAGGUGUAGGCUACUCGAGGGGUAGGGGUAAAAUCCUGUAAUCCUUCGGGGAGGACCAGUGGCGAAGGCGCUACACUAGAACGGCUCUGACAGUGAGGGACGAAGCCCUGGGGAGCAAACCGG
rnacentral:rRNA from 1 species